GAUGAACGCUGGCGGCGUGCCUAAUACAUGCAAGUCGAACGAAACUUCUUUAUCACCGAGUGCUUGCACUCACCGAUAAAGAGUUGAGUGGCGAACGGGUGAGUAACACGUGGGCAACCUGCCCAAAAGAGGGGGAUAACACUUGGAAACAGGUGCUAAUACCGCAUAACCAUAGUUACCGCAUGGUAACUAUGUAAAAGGUGGCUAUACUACCGCUUUUGGAUGGGCCCGCGGCGCAUUAGCUAGUUGGUAGGGUAAAGGCUUACCAAGGCAAUGAUGCGUAGCCGAAUUGAGAGGUUGAUCGGCCACAUUGGAACUGAGACACGGCCCAGACUCCUACGGGAGGCAGCAGUAGGGAAUCUUCCACAAUGGGCGAAAGCCUGAUGGAGCAACGCCGCGUGGGUGAAGAAGGUCUUCGGAUCGUAAAACCCUGUUGUUAGGGAAGAAAGUGCGUGAGAGUAACUGUUCACGUUUCGACGGUACCUAACCAGAAAGCCACGGCUAACUACGUG
rnacentral:rRNA from 1 species